CCCAACGGUAAUAUCUCCGCGCCACUUUGUCGACCGACCGACCCACCCCUCCAAUUUUGCUCGUCCUCGAUUCGUCGUCUGUUUAGGUUUAGAACCGCGCAAGAUUUAGUUUUUUCUCGUGCUCGAUUCGUCCGUUUGGGAUUGCGCCUGGUUUGAUUUCGCUCGUCCUCGCCGUCGCCCGUUUGGGGUCGUGUCCGGUUCGAUUUUGCUCGUCGCCUUCGUCCGUUUAGAGUCGCCGUCCGGUUCGAUUUUGCUCGUUGCCGUCGUCCGUGUGGAGUCGCCGUCGGGUUCGAAUUGGCUCGUUGCCGUCGUCCGUUUAGUCCGAUUCGAUUUUGCUCGUCCUCACCGUCGUCCGUGUAGAGUCGCGUCCGGUUCGAUCUUGCUCGUCCUCGCCGUCGUCCGUUUAGAGCCGCGCCUCGUUCGAUUUCGCUCGCUCUCGCCGUUGUCCCGAUGCGCUCGCGUGUUCUUGGCCCGUCUCGCCUCGUCGGAGGUCUCCGUCUCAGUUUGCGAACUAGCAAUUCUUUCUGCGUGCGCUUCUGUUGUCCGAGAGAGAGAUCCUGGGUUUCGUGUUCGCGUCGGUUGCAGGAACGAACGGGUCUGGUUUGAAAUUGGAUUACGGCGGGAGAUGGGGAGCAUCGUUCGUUUAUCGUGCUACUUCAGACCUGUUCCUCUGUUGCUCUUGGUGAUUUUCAGAACUCAAACGCAUGCUCUCUUGUGCUACUCUGUCAAUUCUUGCCCCUCUGUCAGUUCUUGUUGGCCCUCUGUCAAUUCUUGAGUUCCAGGGUCCGUUAACUCUUGAGUUCUUGUUGUACCGGCUAGGCGUGUGUGUUCUGAUGGUGUGUACUGUUUUAUGUUCUUUCCAAUUUGUUUCUUUUUAUCAUGCUUUGCCUGCUGCUUAACUAAUUGAACACCUGCUACUGCUACUGUUGGACAAGGUUCCUUCUUUUCUUCCUGAUGUUGCUACUUCCAUUGAAGUACUCAUAGGAGUUCUAGAUGAGCUGCUGCUAGUUAGUUCCCCUUAGACUACAUUCUAGAUUGCAUAGCAUAACUCCAGAAUUUUGCCAUUGCACACCUGGGCAUAUAAUUCUGUUGUGAGCAUAACUCCAGAAUUUAUUUAUCCAUGAAAGCACGUCCAUCACAUGUUUUUUUAUCAAUGAUGCUAAAUUCUGUCAUGUCCCUUUCCUUUGGACAACAAUUUCAACAAACCUAUAACGUGGACAUGUGCUGCUUGUUUUCUUGUGAUGAUGCUGAUCCAGUUGACGUGCCCAACUCUUAUGCUGUGACAUUUGUUAAUCCCCAGUUAGUGUGCCUGAAAAAAUUAUUGUUUGUCCUGUUAAAUUUUACGGCAUCAACUCGGUAUUCUGAUUAAUGACCUAGUAUUUGUUUAGUGUAGCCAGCUAACUUCUUUUUUCUCAAUUUUUUAGUGAUAUGUGUGUUUUGUUAUGUCUUAUGUUGAAUAAUGACCUAGUAUUACUCAUGUCCAGUCACUGGAAUAAUGCUUUUCAUGAUUUUCCUAGACUUUGUGACAAUUAAUUUAUAGUGCUAUCAUUUUUCAUUGAUCAUUGAGCUUCUGACAUCCUAUUGCGUAAAAUUCUGUUUUAAUGUUUGUUUGAUCAUUGAGUAGUUAAUAUUGAUUCUGCGUGCACUUCUGUUAUCUGAGAGACACACGCGAAGUCACGAUCCUGCGUUUCGUGUUUGCGGCGGAGCGAUGAACGAUUACGUUUCGUGUUCCUGCAUUUUGUGUUCGCCGUCUGGUUUUGAAUUUGGAUUACGGAGACGGGGAGAGGCCAGCAAGGUCAGUUUCAGAUCGGUUCCGUUGCUGUGUUGUUCGUUGGCGAUUUCCAGACCUCAAAUGCAUGCGCCCUUGUGAUACUCUGGUUUGGCUCGCUGGUCGUUACGGUUGUUCUUAUGUUCUUGAAUAACCCCAUCUUAUACACAGAGAUGAGGUGAUUCGUUAGGGUUCUUCUGAUGGUUGCUUAUGUUCUUUCGAAUUGGGUUCUUCUUGUAAUGCUUUGCUUAUGUUCCCAGUGUCUGUCUUUCCAUAUAUGGGGAUGCGUUGAGAGGUGCAAACCGUGUAGCCCGUGGUGUUUUUUAUACUAUCUAUGGUGUGUUUUAUACUAUCUUAUGUGGAACGUAGAAAUAUUGAUAUCACUUCUGUGCUAGUAUACUAGAUAUGGUGUGUUUUAUCCAAGUUAUUAACCACAUCUCUUACAAAUUAUCCUUGAGACGGUACAUGUUUAUAUGCCAGGAGUGAUUGAUGUCUUGACGAAUAUAAUCAUUUAUGCUAACUUGGUAUUGGUAGUUCCUGAGGUAACACACCAGUACUUGUUUAGUGCAGACAAUUGACUAUUCUUUUUUCUGAACUUUUUUGUGAUAUGUGUGUUAUGUGGAUAUCAUAUUCUAAUGCUUUUCUAAGUAUUUAAGGUACAGACUUGUGGAUCUGGACAUGUCACAUUUGCUCUUUAUUGGGUUGCUAAGGACACUGAACAGUUUGGCUGGGCCACUGCACGGCCUGGCUAAUCAGGAAGUGUUGCUAGAUCAAAUCUGUAAUGGAAGAGACUGGGAGUAACAUUACAACCAACCAACUUAAAGAAUAUGUAUGGAAGACACUGAAGAGUGGAAAGGUUGUAGUGAUUAGAGAGAAGCUUGCAGAACUGUAUGAAUCUGAACAACAAUGGUUGAGAGCAGCACAAAUGCUUAGUGGCAUUGACUUGGACUCAGGAAUCAGGAUGCUUGAUGACACGAACAAAUUAUCCAAGUGCGUCCAGAUUGCACGACUCUAUUUGGAGGAUGAUGAUGAUGCAGUGAAUGCUGAAGCCUUUAUCAACAAAGCCUCGUUUUGGGUCACAAACAGCAACCAGGAAAUUCUGAACUUACAAUACAAGGUCUGCUAUGCGAGAAUUUUAGAUCUAAAGCGUAAAUUCUUGGAAGCUGCACUUUGAUACUAUGGUAUCUCUCAAAUUGAGCAACGCCAAAUUGGGGAUGAGUUGUUCCUGGCUGUGGUCAUGGAGUUCUACAUAAUACAGACCAAAGAUAUUCGUGCCAAAGGGAGUUCGCAUUGAAAUAUUUACCCGAGGACCCACUUCUCCAACUAGUUAGUUAGAAUCCUUCAUCUAACUGCAUGGGUUCUCUUCGGUUCGACAGUCUCAGUGCAACAUAUUAUUAUUCCCUUUCAGGAAUGAAGAUCUGAAUCACCCUCACCCCUCUAGAGAAAUCAGUUUACUCAUUCAAGUUCUGGAAUUUCUUUAUAGUUUUCUGAGUUACUUCGGUCUUGCAUGUAUUAGCUUUCUCUUUGUGCCCCUAUCUAUGCCUGUUUCUUGUGUGCAAGCGCUCCAUUCUGUGUGGGUGUGUGACUUGAUGGUGAAUAUGUGUGUGGCUUGACUCUUUGUGUGUGGCUUGACUGUGUGUGUGAGAUUGUGUGUGGCUUGAUGGUGAAUAUGUGUGUGGCUUGACUGUGUGUGUGUGUGUGGCUUGACUGUGUGUGUGUGGCUUGACUAUGUGUGUGUGUGGCUUGACUGUGUGUGUGAGAUUGUGUGUGGCUUGAUGGUGAAUAUGUGUGUGGCUUGACUCUGUGUGAAUAUUGCAUUUGCUUGAUGGUGUGGCUUGUAUAACUUGUGUUUUAUAUGUCACAAUUGAUUGUUAUUUAUUGAAUGUGAACUUUUUUGUGAUUACGUCUUAUGUGGAUAUCAUAUUCUUUUUUGUAUUACUGCUGUCCAGUCACUGGAAUAACGCUUUUCUAAGUAUUUAAGGUACAGACAUGUGGAUCUGGACAUGUCACAUUGGCUCUUUAUUGUGUUGCUAAGGACACUAAUGGGUUGUGUUUGCAUACAAUGCAGUAUGGACCAACAAAAUGGUCUCAUUGCAAGGUGGACGUAUAGGCAAGCAAUGUCAAGAGAGAGAGAAGCUUGGACUAUGGAGGAGGAACAUGCACUGAUUAAUGCCCAUCGGGUAUAUGGGAAUAAAUGGGCAGAAAUAGCAAAAGUUCUUCCUAGAAUACAUUUGAACAUUGCAGGAAUCGAGUACUUCUAUUUGUUCUCAGGUUCUUCUCACCUAUAGCUAAAGUCAAAGACGACAAACCAAGUGGAUUAUUGGACUUGCAAGAUACACAGAAUCAUCGGUCAUCUGAAUCUUCUUUUCUAAUAUGACUGUUGGUGCUGCUCAUGAGGCUAGCCAUCGGCUUGGAAGCGACGAGAGGCAACCACUGUUGUCAACUUGAAACGUAUAAUCUUUUAGGAACGAAGAUCUGAAUCACCCUCACCCCUCGAGAGAAAUGUGUUUAGUCAUUCAGGUUCUGGAAUUUCUUUAUAGCUUUCUGGUUUAGUUCAGUCCUAUCUAUGUAUUUGCUUUCUGUUUGUGCCCUAUCUAUGUCUGUUUCUUUUUGUUUCUUGUGUGCAAGCGCUCCAUUCUGUGUGUGUUUGACUGUGUGUGGCUUUGACUCUCUUGUGUGUGUGGCUUGACUGUCUGUGUGUGUGACUGUGUUUGACCGUGUGUGUGACUGUGUGUGAAUGUUGCAUUUGACUGUGAUGUGUGACUGUGUGUGUGACUAUGUGUUUGACUCUCUGUGUGUGACUCUGAAUAUUGUGCAUUUGACUGUGAUGUGUGACUGUGUGUGUGACUAUGUGAAUAUUGCAUUUUGACUGUGACUGUGUGUGAUCGUGUGUGGUUGACUCUGUGUGUGUGGCUUGUAUGCUUUGUUGAAUGAUUGGUUGUUGUGGCUUAACACUGCCUUUGCCGGUCUCAAGCCCGGAUGUGAAAAUGUGGAAGGGAGUCUGUUUCUUGUGUGCAAGUGCUACACUGUGUGUGUGUCGUGUGUGGCUUGACUCUGUGUGUGUGUGGCCUGUAUGCUUUGCUGAAUGAUUGAUUGUUGUGGCUUAACACUGCCUUUGCCGGUCCCAAGCCCGGAUGUGAAAAUGUGGUGGGAGUCUGUUUUUGUCUGCUUCUUGUGUGCAAGUGCUACACUGUGUGUGUGACUGCGUGUGUGAUCGUGUGUGGCUUGACUCUCUGUGUGUGUGUGGCCUGUAUGCUUUGCUGAAUGAUUGAUUGUUGUGGCUUAACACUGCCUUUGCCGGUCCCAAGCCCGGAUGUGAAAAUGUGGUGGGAGUCUGUUUUUGUCUGCUUCUUGUGUGCAAGUGCUACACUGUGUGUGUGAUGUGCCCAUAUCUAUGUCUGUUUCUUUGUCUUUUUUGCGUGCAAGCGCUUGGUUGUGUGUGUGUGUGUGUGUUGCAUUUGCUUGAUGGUGUGGCCUGUAUGCUUUGCUGAAUGAUUGGUGUUGUAUAACUUGCGUUUUGUGUUGUUGUGGCUUAACACUGCCUUUGCCGGUCCCAAGCCCGAAUGCGAAAAUAUGGAGGGAGCCGCAGUUACCUCCUCUGUAUUGUUUGCCUUAGAAGUGUGGAUAGAAAUUACUCUGUACUAACUGAAUAGUGAAUCUUCACAUAAUAUCGUACCACAUGAUUCAAGCUCUGAAAUGCAUCAUUCCUUGCUAUGAAAAAUCUAGCAAUUGUAAUUGCUGUUAGAGUUUGUCCCGUCUCCUAAAUUAAUCUCGCUGGUUUCUUAGAUCUUGUCAGCACCAACGAUCUUUUCUGCUAAUAAUCAGUCAUCUGCUUUUGUUAUUUGGCUUUAGGAAAUUAAUCUCGCUGGCUUCUUAAAUCUUGUCAGCACCGAUGAUCUUUACUGCUAACAAUCAGUCAUCUGCUUUUGUUAUUUGGCUUUAGGUUGAAUUUUAUGGUUUUUCAUGCACGAAUCUCAGCGUCAUAGGUGUCGCUCAUUUGUCUGUCACUCGCGAGUGCGUGUCGGGUUUAUUUGUUGUUGGGCUUUUUAUUCGGGUUGUGGGUCCUUGUUUGGACUCCGACCGUGUGGGGGUGUCCUUUUCAGUUGUGUGCCAUUUUCUAGAGGGGGUGAGCUGCUGAGUGUGUGUGAGAGAGGGAAGGGGGUGGGGAAGAGCUGACUUCGGCGCACGGCUUGUAAGGCACUAUGUAGGCCCUCUUUGAUUCAAAUCA